rnacentral:rRNA from 1 species
AUUGAACGCUGGCGGCAGGCUUAACACAUGCAAGUCGAGCGAGCGGCGGACGGGUGAGUAAUGUCUGGGAAACUGCCUGCGGGAGGGGGAUAACUACUGGAAACGGUAGCUAAUACCGCAUACCAUCGGAUGUGCCCAGAUGGGAUUAGCUGUGAGGUUGGGUAAAGGCUCACCUAGGCGACGAUCCCUAUCUUGUCUGAGAGGAUGACCAGCCACAUGUGAACUGAGAUACGGUCCAGACUCCUACGGGAGGCAGCAGUGGGGAAUAUGUCACGAUGGGCGCAAGCCUGAUGCAGCCAUGCCGCGUGUGUGAAGAAUGCCUUCGGGUUGUAAAGCACUUUCAGCGAGGAGGCGUUACUCGCAGAAGAAGCACCGGCUAACUCCGUGCCAGCAGCCGCGGUAAUUC